CUCCUUUGGUAGCUAACUGGCUGCGCCGGAGGCAGACGCCACAGUAACAAUUUAGUAUCUGCGAGAGAAAACACAGAUUAAGACCAUGACUCACAAAGUAUCAUUAUAUGUCACUUUAUCCUUCAACAAUUAGGAUUAUGGAGAAAACAACUGCCUUCUCAGCACAAACAGUUCUAUUCUGCCACAACGCUCCCACACUGCCCUGUUGAUACAGCCCUGCAGAGCCUCGCUGUGUGUAUAAAGGCACGAAAACCAGAAGGGCUCUCAUUCAGAGAGGUCAUAAAGCAAGAACUCAAGAAAUGCUCAUUAACUCUUUAAGAUCUGUUUUAUGUGCCUUUUCCCUUUCCCUGCAAGAAGUCUUCCAUUGAUCCUAACAUUGUUAACUAAUCACCUGUGUACUAGGAGCUAGCUAGAGAGAGCACACAAUGGUGAAAAAGGAAUCAGCAGUACUAUCAGACCCAAAUCCCGGAACUUCAAACUAUGGGAAGGAAAUGUGCUGUCCACUGGGCAGGUAUAUUGCACUGGACCCUCUGGAAGUUGAAGCUGGAAUGUUAAUUUACCCAAACUUCCAGGUGAUUAUAAUGCACCAUACACAGCUCUAAAGAGAGGUCCUAAGAAUCAUUCAAUCAAGAAUUCACCCCUGGAGAUGCCACUCGAUUAGGGAAAUGUUAAGACUCAUUUAUCUUUUAAAAGUUCAUACCUCUCAAUGAACUGAUGUUCUUUUCCAUAAUCUGCUGGCCAUUUUAAAAGCUGGAUUUAGGAAGUGAUAUUUCCCAUUUAUGCCAUCACCAAUGCUUGUUAGCAAUUAGAGUCUCUAGGUCUUAUCUCUGAAUAAGAUGAAAAUUAAAAUUGUA